AUAGGUCAGGUGUGGAAGUGCAGUAAUGCAUUAAGCUAACUGAUACUAAUUGCCCGUACGGCUUGUCCCUAUAACCUUAGCAGGU
rnacentral:rRNA from 1 species